UCGCGAGGGGCAAGGGGCUGUUCGGAAGAAGAUUGUCAGGACGUUCUACAUAGAUGUGGAUGAAAGACUACAGAAGGAAGGAGCAACAAACGUCAAAAACAAAACCAUGGCUAUAAACUCUGCUGGGUUGCGACAUAAUAAUGGAUUGUGGAUUCGGUUUACCGCGUGGUGACCAGCGUAAAACACAUGCAUAAUAAUUACGCAAUAUUAUAGAAUGUCGGGGGCGGGAAGGGAAGAGAAUAAAAAUUUGCAUCCCACACAGUAAGGACUUGAAAUUUUCUUCCAGAAUCUCCGAACAAGACCCUAAGCUAUGACAUCC
rnacentral:lncRNA from 1 species